UACAGAGGGGGCAAGCGUUGUUCGGAAUUACUGGGCGUAAAGGGCGCGUAGGCGGCCAUCUAAGUCGAACGUGAAAUCCCCGGGCUCAACCCGGGAACUGCGUCCGAUACUGGUUGGCUUGAAUCCGGGAGAGGGAUGCGGAAUUCCAGGUGUAGCGGUGAAAUGCGUAGAUAUCUGGAGGAACACCGGUGGCGAAGGCGGCAUCCUGGACCGGCAUUGACGCUGAGGCACGAAAGCGUGGGGAGCAAACAGG
rnacentral:rRNA from 1 species